GGGGUUGUGGCUCAGCGGUAGAGCGCUCGCCUUGCACGUGGGAGACCCUGGGUUCCAUCCUCAGCACCACUU
rnacentral:tRNA from 1 species